rnacentral:rRNA from 1 species
UGGGGAAUAUUGGACAAUGGGCGAAAGCCUGAUCCAGCCAUGCCGCGUGUGUGAAAGAAGGUCUUCGGAUUGUAAAGCACUUUAAGUUGGGAGGAAGGGCAGUAAAGUUAAAUACCUUGCUGUUUUUGACGUUUCCCAACAGAAAUAAGCCCCCGGCCUACUUCGUGCCCAGCAGCCGCGGUAAUUCCGAAGGGUGCAAGCGUUAAUCGGAAUUACUGGGCGUAAAGCGCGCGUAGGUGGUUCAGCAAAGUGGAUGUGAAAAUCCCGGGCUCAACCUGGGAACUGCAUUCAAAACUACUGAGCUAGAGUACGGUAGAGGGUGGUGGAAUUUCCUGUGUAGCGGUGAAAUGCGUAGAUAUAGGAAGGAACACCAGUNGCGAAGGCGACCACCUGGACUGAUACUGACACUGAGGUNCGAAAGCGUGGGGAGCAAACAGGAUUAGAUACCCUGGUAGUCCNCGCCGUAAACGAUGUCGNCUANCGUUGGGAUCCUUGAGAUCUUAGUUGCGCAGCUAACGCGAUAAGUCGACCGCCUGGGGAGUACGGCCGCAAGGUUA